rnacentral:rRNA from 1 species
GACGAACGCUGGCGGCGCGCUUAACACAUGCAAGUCGAGCGAGAACCAGGCCUUCGGGCCUGGGGAAAGCGGCGAACGGGUGAGUAACACGUGGGCAACCCACCCUUGGUACCGGGAUAGCCCGGGGAAACCCGGAUUAAUACCGGAUGGCCCAGCAGCUCUUCGGGGCGGCUGGAAAAGGUAGCUUCGGCCUCCGACCAAGGACGGGCCCGCGGCGGAUUAGCUUGGUGGUGAGGUAACGGCGCACCAAGGCGACGAUCUGUAGCUGGUCUGAGAGGACGAUCAGCCACACUGGGACUGAGACACGGCCCAGACUCCUACGGGAGGCAGCAGUGGGGAAUCUUGCGCAAUGGGCGAAAGCCUGACGCAGCGACGCCGCGUGGGGGAAGAAGGCUUUCGGGUUGUGAACCCCUUUCAGGAGGGACGAAGCCACUCGGGUGAAUAGCCCAGAGGGUGACGGUACCUGCAGAAGAAGCACCGGCCAACUACGUGCCAGCCGCCGCCGUAAUAC